rnacentral:rRNA from 1 species
GACACAGGGAGGUAGUGACAAGAAAUAACAAUACGGGGCUUAAUGUCUUGUAAUUGGAAUGAUGGGAAUUUAAACCUCUUCCAGAGUAUCAAUUGGAGGGCAAGUCUGGUGCCAGCAGCCGCGGUAAUUCCAGCUCCAAUAGCGUAUAUUAAAAUUGUUGCAGUUAAAAAGCUCGUAGUUGAAUUUCUGCUGCAUUGCAUCUUCUUUUUGAUGAGUUGGUGUAUUGUGGCUUAUUUCGGAUGAUACUUGUAUUAUCCGGAUGAUUACUUUGAGAAAAUUAGAGUGCUCAAAGCAGGCUUUUGCCUUGAAUAGUUUAGCAUGGAAUAAUAAAGUAGGACUUUGGUUCUAUUUUGUUGGUUUUAGGUACCAAAGUAAUGGUUAAU